rnacentral:rRNA from 1 species
UCAACCGAGAUUCCGCAAGUAGUGGCGAGCGAACGCGGAAAAGCCUGUAUAUGAUAAUGGUUAAGAUAGAAGAAGGGAUUGGAAACUUCCGCCAUAGUGGGUGAUAGCCCCGUAUUUGAAAUCUUAACCAUGGUACUAAGUAUACGAGAAGUAGGGCGGGACACGUGAAAUCCUGUCUGAAUAUGGGGGGACCAUCCUCUAAGGCUAAAUACUCAUCAUCGACCGAUAGUGAACCAGUACCGUGAGGGAAAGGCGAAAAGAACCCCGGAAGGGGAGUGAAAUAGAACCUGAAACCUGAUGCAUACAUACAGUGGGAGCAUCUUUGUGGUGUGACUGCGUACCUUUUGUAUAAUGGGUCAACGACUUACAUUCAGUAGCGAGCUUAACCGAGUAGGGGAGGCGUAGGGAAACCGAGUCUUAAUAGGGCGACUAGUUGCUGGGUGUAGACCCGAAACCGAGUGAUCUAUCCAUGGCCAGGAUGAAGGUGCGGUAAAACGCAUUGGAGGUCCGAACCCACGCAUGUUGCAAAAUGCGGGGAUGAGCUGUGGAUAGGGGUGAAAGGCUAAACAAACUCGGAGAUAGCUGGUUCUCCCCGAAAACUAUUUAGGUAGUGCCUCGAGUAUGAGACUGAUGGGGGUAAAGCACUGUUAUGGCUAGGGGGUUAUUGCAACUUACCAACCCAUGGCAAACUAAGAAUACCAUCAAGUUGCUCCUCGGGAGACAGACAUCGGGUGCUAACGUCCGGUGUCAAGAGGGAAACAACCCAGACCGCCAGCUAAGGUCCCAAAUGAUAGAUUAAGUGGUAAACGAAGUGGGAAGGCACAGACAGCCAGGAUGUUGGCUUAGAAGCAGCCAUCAUUUAAAGAAAGCGUAAUAGCUCACUGGUCGAGUCUUCCUGCGCGGAAGAUGUAACGGGGCUCAAAUCUAUAACCGAAGCUGCGGAUAUACUUUUGUAUAUGGUAGGGGAGCGUUCUGUAGGCCUGUGAAGGUGACUUGUAAAGGUUGCUGGAGGUAUCAGAAGUGCGAAUGUUGACAUGAGUAGCGAUAAAGUGGGUGAAAAGCCCGCUCGCCGAAAGCCCAAGGUUUCCUACGCAACGUUCAUCGGCGUAGGGUGAGUCGGCCCCUAAGGCGAGGCAGAAAUGCGUAGUCGAUGGGAAACAGGUUAAUAUUCCUGUACUUUGAUUCAAUGCGAUGUGGGGACGGAGAAGGUUAGGUUAGCAAACUGUUGGAAUAGUUUGUUUAAGCCAGUAGGUGGAAAGAGUAGGCAAAUCCGCUCUUUCUUAACACCGAGACGUGAUGACGAGUGUCUACGGACAUGAAGUGACCAAUACCACGCUUCCAGGAAAAGCCACUAAGCUUCAGUUGAAUCAGAACCGUACCGCAAACCGACACAGGUGGGCAGGAUGAGAAUUCUAAGGCGCUUGAGAGAACUCGGGAGAAGGAACUCGGCAAAUUGAUACCGUAACUUCGGGAGAAGGUAUGCCCUCUAAUGUUAAGGACUUGCUCCGUAAGCAUCUGAGGGUCGCAGAGAAUCGGUGGCUGCGACUGUUUAUUAAAAACACAGCACUCUGCUAACACGAAAGUGGACGUAUAGGGUGUGACGCCUGCCCGGUGCUGGAAGGUUAAUUGAAGAUGUGCAAGCAUCGGAUCGAAGCCCCAGUAAACGGCGGCCGUAACUAUAACGGUCCUAAGGUAGCGAAAUUCCUUGUCGGGUAAGUUCCGACCCGCACGAAUGGCGUAACGAUGGCCACACUGUCUCCUCCCGAGACUCAGCGAAGUUGAAAUGGUUGUGAAGAUGCAAUCUCCCCGCUGCUAGACGGAAAGACCCCGUGAACCUUUACUGUAGCUUUGCAUUGGACUUUGAAGUCACUUGUGUAGGAUAGGUGGGAGGCUUUGAAGCAGAGACGCCAGUCUCUGUGGAGCCGUCCUUGAAAUACCACCCUGGUGACUUUGAGGUUCUAACCCAGACCCGUUAUCCGGGUCGGGGACCGUGCAUGGUAGGCAGUUUGACUGGGGCGGUCUCCUCCCAAAGAGUAACGGAGGAGUUCGAAGGUUACCUAGGUCCGGUCGGAAAUCGGACUGAUAGUGCAAUGGCAAAAGGUAGCUUAACUGCGAGACCGACAAGUCGAGCAGGUGCGAAAGCAGGACAUAGUGAUCCGGUGGUUCUGAAUGGAAGGGCCAUCGCUCAACGGAUAAAAGGUACUCCGGGGAUAACAGGCUGAUUCCGCCCAAGAGUCCAUAUCGACGGCGGAGUUUGGCACCUCGAUGUCGGCUCAUCACAUCCUGGGGCUGUAGUCGGUCCCAAGGGUAUGGCUGUUCGCCAUUUAAAGUGGUACGUGAGCUGGGUUUAAAACGUCGUGAGACAGUUUGGUCCCUAUCUGCAGUGGGCGUUGGAAGUUUGACGGGGGCUGCUCCUAGUACGAGAGGACCGGAGUGGACGAACCUCUGGUGUACCGGUUGUUUCGCCAGAAGCAUAGCCGGGUAGCUAAGUUCGGAAGAGAUAAGCGCUGAAAGCAUCUAAGCGCGAAACUCGCCCAAAGAUGAGACUUCCCUUGUGGUUUAACCAUACUAAAGAGUCGUUCGAGACCAGGACGUUGAUAGGUUGGGUGUGGAAGAGUGGUAACACUUGAAGCUAACCAAUACCUGUCUCUUAUACACAUCU